AGUGGCAUGGAAGAAAACAUACUGUCAUGUGAAGGAACACAGAGGAGGUAAAUGUUCCAGGAAGGGCCCAUAGCAUCAGCUGCUGCUAAGGAGACUAAUGAGAAGAAAACUUAAAAACAAAAGUUUUUGAAUUUAGCAACAUGGAGAUAAUUGGUAACUUUAGUGGGAGAUACUCCAGUAAAGUGAUAAGGUUAUAGGCUGAAUUGGAACUAGCCAGAUAUGAAAUGGAAGUUGAGAAAAAAGGGGAUAGUAGAGUUAACUAUUUUGAGAAAUUUGACUAUUUAAAGGUGGUAGAGAGUAAAAGACAUAGUAAUAUCAAAUGGCCAGAUAACAACAGUGAACCUGUUUAUUUUAAUUUUGUUUGUUUUAUUUAUUGAGGCUAAUUCUACUGUAAUUUAGUUUUUUUUAUCUCCUUGAACAUCUUGAGAGCUCCUGAUUUUUUGAAUUGUUGCAUUUCCUUGAGUUCCACCUAGCCUACAUUUUGUAGAAAGCCUCCAGCUGGGACAUGAACUGAGGGGCAUGAAGUUUUAUUGCACCAGGCAUCCAACAUGUCUUACCUUGGUUUAUUCUUCACAACAACUCUAUGAGGUUGAUUUCAUUAACUCCAUUUUACAAAUGAUAGAUCUAAGGUUCAGAGGAAACCACUUCCCUGCAAAAGUCAAACAUCUAGGAAGAGGGAGAACUGGGAUUCAAACCCAGGUGACUCAGGCUACAUGUUUCCUGAUUGACCUUCGACACAAAGAUAACAUCACAGCUGAAAUAACAUCUCUGCCUUUCAUAAGAGAUUUUUCCUAGCAAAACCCAGAUUUUGGGGGUUACUGUUUUUAUUCAUACAGUCUGUCAGCACACAGCCAGUUGAAGAUCAUCUCCCCUUCUUCCCUACUGUUGCCUCAUCCAGCGUGUCUCUUAACUGUCUUGCUGCGGGAAGUAGUUCUUCUGAGAAAUGAAAAUAAUAAAACCAGUUUAUUUCCCAGAGGCUUUGGAAACGUGUACAGGAUUUUGUUUCUGCUCCUUCACCCACCUACUUACUAUCAUCUCAGUUCCUUAUCUGGGACUCCACGCAGGAACAAAACACAUCUGAAUCCUUUCAUAUCUCACCCCUGUUAAGUAAGUCCUGAGUCAUUGGGGUCACGCUGGUGAAAUGUUGUGAGAUGUUGUGAUGUGUGGAAGGAAAACGGAAUGGAUGGAAGUCAUAACUACCAUUGUGACCAUGACAAGUUGAUCCCACAUUAAAAUAGAAGUGUUGAAUUUAUGGUGCGCCCCCUGAGUUUGGAGAUUGCCUUAUGGGUUAUGUCCUUAGUAUUUCACAGAAUGGUCAAGUGGUCCAAGAUGUGGAUGGCCAAGUUACGCAUUCCAAGUGAAAUAGGAAAGUUGAUGGAGGUGAGGUCGAGUAAGAUUUUUUUGUCGUUUUUUUCUUUAGCAUCAAAGUCCCCAUUUAAUAGAGGUUUUCAGCCCAUGGAAGACAGUAAUUUGAGAGAGUCGUGAUUUUUCUCUCCUAGGGUUUUGUCCCUUCUCUGCAUCUCUCUAAUAUUAACUUAUGCCAACCUCUUUUAAGUGCAUGUGACAAGUUGUUUCUUUGGCCUUGAGGAAAAGAUUUUGAUGUCAGUAUGUGGGACUCAAGUCUUUGAUGUUUAAUUGUGUUUUACCCAGAUGACAAUGAAUGGAAGGACUCAGCCAUUUGUUUCCUGCAUGUUGCUGAGACCAUGACCAUAGUGGAGCACCUAAUGUUUGUGCUCACUUUGAGGCUGGAGUGUGACCACUGGCCCUUGUGAGGCCCUGGCAGCCACGCUCCGUUCUUUGACAGCCUCUUUGAGCAUAAGGGACUCUGGGUAACAUUCCAGAUUCUGGGCUCUGGGACAAACUAGCAUUAUUGCCUCAGCUGAUCUUCACUCUCUCUGAAUUUUAAAACAAAGGGUAUAGAAAGGCAGCCCCAGCCUUAGGGGCACAGGAGUAUCUCCCACCCCUAUGGAGUCUGUAGAUGUUGAUGGUCAAGUUUACUAACACCUCAUGUUAGCAGAUGCCACUUGAGUUGAGGAAUAUCUGUUUCGGUGAUACUUACGUGAAUCCUGAUUUCCCUAUCUUUUUCCAUUAUAAAGCAGAGGUAUGCUAACUGAGGAUGGGAAGAAAAUAUCCCUGAAAUAAAAUUGAUUUUUAUAACAGAAAACAUUUGUAAUAACUAUAUUAAAAUGUUAAUACUAUACUAACAACUAUAUUAAUGUAAUCCUAUUACAUUAUAUAAUAUAAAUUAUUAUAUAAAUUAUAUUCUUAUACAACCUACUAGUAAUACAACUUACAUAUUUUAGAAAUAAAAUUAUAAGUAAUGUUAAUAUAAUUGAUCAAAAUACUAACAUGCCAAAUCUUAGCAAUAAUACUUUAAUUAUGAAACAUCUCACAUAUCUGGACAGAGUGUAUCACUGACUAGUGACUUGGUGGGCCUCAUGUACUGCCCUCAUGUAGAAUAAACUAUCCCAUAAGCUUUGACAAUUUGUUCUCAAAUGAGGUAGCAUUUUCCUCUAGGAAGGGUUUUUAUUUUAUUUUGGUGGCACUUAAGCCCUCCAACUCCAACACCUCCUACCCUACUGGUUUCAUCUUUUUAGUUAACGAUUUCUAGGAAUAUGGACACGUUUAUUUAAAGUAGAGAAAUGGCAGUAGCAGCAGGGACUGAAACAGGUCAGGAUCUUUAGCAAGAGUCUCGGCAACAUACAGUGGUAUGAGGGUCUGGCGUGUAGUUCAUAUCCAGACUUCAUGAGUUACUGGCUUGUGAUAGUUAUAAAAAUAGCCAAAUUUGCUGGCAUCUACUAUAUGUCAGGCAUUGAUUGUGCUUAGAGAAUUUGUGUGUGGACUCUUUGGUUUCAAGUGGAAUGGUUUUUGUAUUUCACCCAACUGUGGUUACCGAUCACCAUAGGAUCAGAAUGGCCUUGGGCCUCUCACAGAGUGCUGACCUUACUAAUAUUAACUGAGGAGAAGAGGCUGGGGUGCUGAUAAUGUAAGUUGAUGGCUGCUGCAGGGCGGUGGCUUGGAAACCCACAAAUGUCCUUCCUGUUUUUCGUAGUGCUGUGAAGCAGAGUGAGGGUUUAAUUCACAAUUUCUUUACAUUCACAGUUUUGGUUACAAUUCUGUAAAUUGUUUUCAUACUGUUAUCAAAUGUAAAAUAACUGAGAAUAUUCUUGUAAUGGCCAUAGAACUUGGAAGCUUGGGAUUUGAAAACCUACCUUAGACAAAUGAUUUCUAGCAACCGUGCCACUGUCCCUCAAGGGACAGUAGUUGUUAUCAGAAGUUCCAAAUCCUCAGACACAGCAAGCUCUGUCUAUAAGCCAAAGUAUAUGUGAGUAUGUGUGUAUUACAACAUCUGCUCAACCUGUUCUGUUGCUUUUUUGAUGAGCAAAAUAUCAAUUUCCAAACACAUUAUCAAAUUCAAACUAGCUUUGAAUUUAUAUCCUUUUGUGUUAUUCCUACUUAUCUGAUACCAAAAGUUCAACUAUUAUCUUAUGAGGGUGCUAAAACAUUUUAAAAAAUAUAUAUUCGUGAAGGGCGGGAGUUACUGUUCUGCUGCUGCUCAAGGGAUUUUUAAAAAACAGCCAAAGAUUGGAAAUUGCUUAGUGACUUUGGCUUCCAGCCUAGGUCUGUUCUUAGAAAAUGUGUCAGCUUAUCCUAAAGAAAAAUUUCAUCACUGAAUUGAAUCCUUCCGUUUUCCAAAUACCUUAAUACUGCCUUUGAAGUAGUGUGGAGUUAAGGGGAAAGAUUUUUAGCCCAUGCCUGUUUGCUGUUUUUUGGUUUGCCUAAUGAAUAUUCACUAUGAGAUAAAUUACCUGCUAUUCUUUGAAAUUUGCUAAAAGAUACCCUUCAUUCCUGUCUGCCACUGUGGACUGGUAUUAUUGGCAGCACAUGUAUGAGCAGAGACAGAGUAGGUAUGGUGCAAAAAAUACAUCCAGUGCAGCUGAGAGCAUGGUGGCAAUUCUGAGUGCCACAAAAGGUGAAAAUCAUGUAUUUCAACUGUGGAGCACAUGGACACAGCUGUAUUCCAACCUCUGCCUAGGAAAAUAGCCAUUUCCUUUGUACAUAUUCUCAGCCAUGAGAACUGUGCCUUAUUCUUAUGUUGAAAUACCUAAAGCAAAUGAAUUUGGUCUCUAAAUAACAAAUUAGCCAAAAGUUCAUUUUCAACCACAUAUUGAAAUUUUGGGACCUGUUUUCUCCUAGAGCUGGUUUACAUGUAGGUUCCUAAUUGGGCUGCAAGAAGAACCUCUUAGAUUCAGAAUGCAGUUGAAAGAUGUUUUCGAUUCUCGUUUCCUCUUGUCACUAUGGGAAAAUGCUCUUUGCUAAUUCCCUUAGCCCUAAAAGUGAAUGGUCUUGUCCCUUGUCAAGUGUGGCUUGAUUGUCCCCCUCUUUCUUGACUGAGUGCUAAUGGCAUGGAAUUGCUCCAGUCUGUGUUCUUUAUUUGUAAGGGAUGAUCAGAAGGCAUGUUGAUAUUUCUUCUAAAUAGCAAACGAAAGCAUAAUGUGCUCCUCCCUGCCCUUUCAGCAUUCCUUUCUCUCCCCAGCCCCGUCUCUUCUGAAACAGAAAAAGAAAAUGAGGUUAAUAUGAGAACUACCCCGUAAAAAGAUUAUUCUAUUUUACAACCUUAACUAUUCAGUAAGCUAUGGAGAGCACUCCUGGUAUAUAGAUAAAUGUACAGUGUGACAGAGGUUGUGAGUUGGUAAUUGGAUUCCCAAAACCAGUAUGUCGAAGUUGUUUUAUUCUACCUGCAAAGAGCUCUAAGAAAUUCAAAAGAAGGCUUCUGUGUAAAUUAAGUGGAUGAAUGGUAUGAACAUAUGUAUUAAAUGUCCAGGAUCCACAGUAAAUGUUGGUUUAGCAUUGACUUAGAGACUUGUCUUGGGGGUAUAAAGCGUUUGCAGCAAAGCAGGUGACAUUGAGAAUGAAAUGAGGGUGAGCAGCCAUGAGGGUUCUUAGGAAGGAAGACUGAUUCCUAAAGGAUCCAAGCAAGCAGGUACUAUGAAAUGAUGGCUGGAAACCUUGUAGGCAAGAUAAAACCACCAGUGUUAGGGCAAAAUACUAGUAAUCUGAUUAAUCUCAGUUAACUGAAAUGUCUAAUAAACUGCCAACAUCAGUAUCUAAGAAUGAGUGAAACAAAAUGCUUUCCUUUUUCUUCCUGUUUUUGUUAGAAGGUUUUUGAAAAAUUAUAUAUCAGCAUACUUUUCUAGUGUGAGAAAAUACCAGUUAAGAAAAUUAGUUGAAGUCUCUUUUGAAUUAUUGAGAAGAAAAAUGAAGUUAGAUCUGUUGUGGGGUUUUUAAAGUCCAGGUAGACAUGAAAAAGGAGGAGGUAAAAUAGCAGAUGGAAUAUUGAUGGUCGUACAUGGAGGAAGCUUGUUAACAGCACUGGCCUGGUGGACAGAUGCCAGGCUUAAGCCAACUUUACUCCUCCUUGACAAAGAACAUUGGAGGAUAAGGAGGUUUACUAUGUGGAACUUUGUCUUAGAAUUGUAAGUAAUAGUAAAAGAGCCCAAAUUAAGCAGCAAGCAAAAAGGGACAGAGUAAAAAGAAAAAGCAGUUGCUAUGGGGGCGCAUCAGCAUUUCGAGGACCUAGGCUUGAUAUUAUACAGCAAGAGCUGGAUAUGUGUGGCCUGAGGGCUUUAAAUACGCCCUGCUUGCGUUAAUAUCUGUGGACAGAUCCAGAUCCAGGGCUACUUGUCAAUGCUUGAAUGUUUUUUCAGGUGAAAGCUUGUAAGAAUGCUGUACAGUCCAGAAUUAAGUACUGAUUGCUAACUCCAGUUUCCCUUUAUAUCGGUAUAACAUGGAGCACUUAGCAUUGCCUUUUUAAAAGAUACUGGCUCUAGGUGAAAUUGUAUGUUUAGCCUCUCCUUUGGUACAUACUAAAAUGAUGUGGAUUCAUUAAGUAAAAGUUUAUAGUCAAAGAAGCAUUGGUGGACCUAUGGACUUAGGUCUGUUUUUAGCUUCUUAAGCCCCAGGAAAAUUUAAAUCACUUGGUUUGAGCUCUGCAAAUCAAGGCUUUGGUAGUCAGUAGUAUAAUUUUAGGCUUACAGGGGAUUGACUCUAGGGGAAUUUGUUUGGCAUAUCUAAUUUGGUUAUUGAUAACAUGGAACUUUUGGAAAAAGUAGGUUAUAGUAAACUAGAGGGGUUGUGAAAGAAGUAUUGGGCUUGUAGAUAAUAUCUGGCUUUGAAUUCUUGCUCUGUCAUUGACUGCUUCGUAACCUGCUUAGCAAGUCACUUUAUUUUUCCGGGCUUCAAUUUCUUCCCCUAAAUGGUGAUUUCCCAAGCCUUUGCCUUUUUAAAAACGAUUAACUCUGAGACAAGUUAAUGUCUCUGUAAUGAUAGUAGUUCACACAGUGCCUAGGGUUAGUAUUAUAAAUACCAGAUUUUCAGUGCACAGAGGGGUUGUAAGAAAAAAGUGUGUACGUUGGGAGGAAUGUGCGCCAACACCGGAACAAACCCCAGCAAAAGGCUUUAAGAUGGCGUGCUUUUGUAAUGACCACCAUUGCCAGUCGUUUCUCUCUUAAAGCCAAAGGGGAAAUAAAGAAACAUGACUGUGGAAACAUCUGAAAUAAUCCCAAGUGGGUCAGUUCUGAUGAGUCCAGCAUUGAAGGUAUUGUAAGGCUUUUAUACCCAGAGACUUGAUGCCCUAAGUGUGAUCAAAAUACCAGAAGUAAUGAAGUCAAUUUGUUGGCGUUAAAAACUUCUGGCUUCCAAAUACUUAGCCUUGAAUAUGUAUGCUUUUGUCUUCUGGAAGAUGAUACAAAUCUUCCGAGCCUUGAAAAAAUACCUAUUAUUAAUUUUAUCAGUAAAACUUAAAGGUGAAACCAUGAAGCAGUUAGGUUCAAAGUUAGCAUUUAUCAUUGUGUUACACAUUCCAUUGCCUUGUAAGUGACAUACCUCAAGGUACAGGGGUGAGCUCCUUGACAGAUGAGUGAUGAACAAUUCACCCAUAAUCAAAACCAUACGGUGCACAUAAACAUAAAAUUAAUUUCACUUUUAUGGACUCUAGUCCCACAGCUCAAGAAAUUGCUAAUGGGAGAAGAAAAAUAUGUAGGACAAAGACAGUAGUCUGACUUUCGAACUGCUACAUCAGGAUUUAGACAUAUGGUAACACCUGUAAAAGCAUAUUAGAAGUUUUGCAACUAAAGCCCAAGGUAAUCCUUGAGAAAAGCAUGCAAAAUGGAAUGCAAAAUAUAAAUGAGGGCUGGGAAGUGACCGGUGUAGGUAGGCUGGAGCAGAUAGUUUGCUGCUACUUUGAGAUAGUUCCCUGACUGUUCUUCAUGUUUCAUCUAUUUGGUUUUGAAUGCCUUCCCUUGGAGGACAAUUCCAUAGUCUAAUAGAUACCGAUACUUGAGAGCUUCUUUAAGACAUUCAGUCUAUUUGAAAAAAAAAAAUUUCCUCUUCCAGUUUCUGUGUAAUUGUUCUUGCUUUUGUAUUAUCGUAAAAGAAGUGUGAGGAAUGGGGGGAAUGUAUGCAAUGGGAAAUAAAGUUCAACAACAUUUCUCUCUUGGGUGCCACAGAUUUCACCUUUCAUAAACUUAUGCUUUGCUCACAGAAAAUGAUUACCAAGGGAAGUGAAUUCACUGCUUUUCCAGCGCUGAAGGCGUUCUACCUAUAAUAAGUGCCCAUAGAGAAUAACACAGUCCCAAGUCGAAAGAGUCCCUAAAUGUGUUUUUUUCCUUGGCCUCAUUUUACUGCUUGACCUAAUUCUAGAGUCACUGGUUUCAUUCAUCCAGAACCUUAUUCAUCUCCAAAUCCUCAGUCUUCCAAAAUCUAUCCAUAUUCCCUGCAAACUAAUUACUCAGAAAAGCUAGGUAGAGAUGUAACACUGGACUUUUUAAAAGCUUAAUUAUGUCAGAUUACAAAAGGGUGGGCGGUUCUUCUCCAUGCACCGCUUGCACAAAAUAUAAAAGAAUAUGAGGCUGCCACUCUGUAUUCUCUUACCUAUUAUGUAUUCUUGACCUGUUCAGGAAAGACUCUAAACCUUAGACUGCCCAGUGGAUACUGUCUGGGAGUGACGGUGCUAUUAGGCACGUCCAUUGUUUUGCUUUGGAGGAUCAUGCUGGUCCCUUCUUCAGUACAAAUGUGAUGUGAUUAAAGAAUUAAGUAAGCAAAUGCUGUUGGACCCAAAGAGCUUUGUUUUACAGUUGAUUAAAUCACAUGAGCAGCUCACAUUUUCUAUUGCUAUUUGGAUUCUAUGCAUACAGUUGCAGUGUGAUGAGGUGUAUCUCUUUCAUGUACUGAAAGUAUGUAACUACUUUGUUUCACUCCUUUUUGUCUCUGGAGUUUUACAGAAACACCUUACAUUUAUUGGCCUGGAGGUAAAACUGAAAACAUUCUAAAACUUGCUCAGAGUGACAGGAGAGGGAUAUCUCAAAAACAUGUAAAUUUUAUAUGGUUUUUAGGACUUAGCUGAAAUAAAGUCCUCUCAUCUAAAUGAUCUCUUAUUUUAAAAUUGCUUUAUAUUCCCAUCUGCAGACCUUGGUUUUAGCAGAUACCCAGCUUUUAGGUUGAAGUACAGCUGUCUCCUCAACAAAAAUUUGCGGAAAAUGCAAAUGACCCGUGGUGUGGUUUUGCUGUGUGUCCCUACCUAAAUCUUGCCUUGAAUUGUAAUAAUCACCUGGUAUUAAGGGUGGGACCAGGUGAAGAUGAUUGAAUUAUUAGGGAUUGGGGGUUUCCCCCAUGCUGUUCUGGCGAUAGUGAAUUCUCAGGAGAUGUGAUGAUUUUAUAAGGGGCUUCUGCCUUCGCUUGGCGCUCAUUCUCUCUCCGGCUUCCCUAUGAAGAGAGGCCUUCCGCCAUGAUUUUAAGUUUACUGUGGCCUCUUCAGUUGUGCAGAACUAUAAAUCAGGUAAACCUAUUUUUUUUAGUAAAUUAGUCUUAGAUAUUUCUUCAUAGCACUGUGAGAAUGUACAGCACCCCCCCCCCGGCUUUUUUAGGCCAUGGAAUCUAGCAAUUCAAGAGGGUAAGAAGUUGUCGCUCAACUUUCCUUCUUGUGUCAGCUUCUGCCAUCACUUGGCAGUAUCAUCACAUGUAAUCAGAGUUAACACAGUACAGUGCAAACAGCAGUAGCAUUUAGUAAUAAAGCAAGAUGACUGAGGGAUUUUUUAGCUGCUAUUUUUACUACGUAUUUAAAGUGCUAAGAAAAAAACUGAACCAUCAAGAUCAUAAACUUCUGUGAAUUGCUCUCCAGUUUGUAAAUGUUUUAGCCAUAUUUAUGAAAGUAAGGUAGGGCGGAAAGAGUUUUGCACUUGACAGACACUAGUUCAAAUGCUGAUUUUGCUACUGAGGGUCACCUUGAGCAAAACCUUUAACUUCUCACAACCUCAAUUUCUUCAUUUAAAAAACGGGAAUAACAUAGGUUUAUUAUGAGAAUCAAGUGAGGUCAUAUAAAAAAUCCAAGUAGCGACCCCAUUAAUAUUAGUUCCCCUUGCUUUUUCUUUGUUUAAACAAAGUGUAUUUUUACAAGUCUUUUACAGACAUUAAUGGAUAAUUUCUUGGUCAGCGUCCAGUUUCUGGACACCCUAGGUUCCACAGUAUGUUUACCACAGUAAACAUUCAUGGAAUGAGCAAAUGGGCAAGUACAUCUAUUUAGUGGGACGUGGCUAUUAGUUCCUCUAUUAGACUAGAAACAUACAGUUUACAAUUUACCUGUGAUUACUUAGAAAAUGGAUGCACUGACUACAUGGACAUCUAGAUAUAUGCAGGUUUUGUAAAUUUCGGGCAAAGCCAGUGUUAGACGUGAAAGUUUCCGUCUGCAUGAACCAUUACCUUCAUCUCUGUCAAACAAUUAUUCUGUAAGAAUGUAAUUGGUGCAUGACACUUACUUGGAUAUUGAAGGGCCUUUUCAUUGUGUAUUGUAGAGAGAACCUCAUCUGGGUGGUUAAUUUAAAGUGUCUGUGAUAAGCUCCUAGUCCAGAGAUGGAGGAGGAUGCUGGACAGGCUUUUCUGGGACAGUCUUUAAUUUUAAUCAAAGUCCUAAUAGUCACUUAAUGAAAAGAAAAUUGUAUGAACCACAAGUUGAUCCAUGUCUGUUGUCAUUAGAAUUAAGUUUAGCCAGCUGCCAGUUUCUGGAGGCAGGCUAGGGCUCUCUGUCUCAGCGUGCUUCUGGCCUUAGUUUCUGAGUGGGCUCACUGAGAUAAAUUAGUCUGGUGUUCCUUUGAAAAACAGGUGUUGGUUGAAUUUCUCAGAUGUUGCUUUAGCAUCCAUUUCAGACAAAUCAAACAUAGAACAAAAGUAUUCUUUAAAUGGUGCUUAUUCGAGAAGAGGGGGCAAUUCUAACCUUAAAUUCAUUAGUAACAUGAAGACUUAUGUGCAUUUGUACUAACACAUAAGAACUUUUAUAAAAUGGGACAUGUUCUUAUGUUAAUAGCAUCACCUAGAAAGUAAGAUUUUUUUGAAGAAGCUUUUACAAAGGGAUUUUCUAUUACCCAGGUUGGCAAGAAGACCAGCCUAGGGGAAGGAAGAUGCCUUAAGGAGUCGGUGUCUAACUCUCAGUUCCAUAAUUGAAAGGGGACUUCUUGAAAACUCAAGUUUAACUAGUAUCCAGGUUCUCUUAAGUCAUACCUGGGACAAUUCAAGUUUGAAAAACUGACUAAACAAAAUGUUAGGGAAAGAGCAUUCAUGCUCCCGAUAAAACUUUUUUUUUUAGGAAAGAUGGAAAUUCUACUUGAGGAACCUGCUUCACUAUUUUGGCACUGAGGGAUCAGAUACCAGCCAGAACCUGGAAGAGAUGAAAUAGAAAAAAAUUAGGGAAUUUUAAUAAGUUGACAUGUUGGAACCUCUGGAAAGGUCCUCAUGGGAGAUGGAUUUAGAAAUAGAUGAAAAUUUAUACAAGGAGGUUUUGACUGAUAGGUUUUCUCUCUGACAUGGUUGACACAUUCUUUUGCUCACUCUGGUAAAUAAGUAUUGGCAAAGGGUUUCUAAUGUGUAUCAGCUGGGCUUCCUUGAUACUCUUUUCCUUAAGAAAGAAACUCUUUGAGGACACAUUCAUCACGUGCUGAUGCAUUUUCCCUGGACUCUAACGUCCCGAUUAUAUUGGUGCUUUCUUCCAUGCAUUUUUAACUCAUGGAGAAUCAAAUAAAAUAAGCUUUAUUCUGGGCCUGAUAACACGUCACCCUGGCCAAGUUUUCGUUCCCUGGAGAGACUUGUGGCUUUGCCUGUCACUUGGGCCAGUUUAUCACAGAGUGGUUCAUGUUCCCAUGGCCUGGGGCUGGGGGCUGUAUCCGUUGCUUCUGUGUGGACCUAGAGUCCUGUGGAGGGCAGGAGUGAGGAAGGUGACACACCCUGUCACCCCUCACACAGCCUCAUCUUUGCUCUACCUCCAGGGGCUCUCGCAGAAUCCAAAACUGUUAAAACUCCAAGAAAACAGCGAAAAAUGGUAUCCUGCCUCUAGCUCCUUCCAACAGAGGACCCUAAAGAGAGUCCAUUCAGUUGCAGCCAACUGGUGAAGUUGGCUUCUUUGCAGUGAUAAGGAUGAGCUGUAUGACCUGCCCAUGUGCUGAUUAUCAUGUCUAAACUCUCUUCCCACUAGUUUGUUUUCUUUUUUCUUGUAUUUCCAGCUCAAUCAGCUGUUUAUUCUACAGAAAGGCUCUGAUGGCUGGCCUGGGCAAGGCAAUGUGCUAGGUUAGGCUACAGGGUGGAAACCUAGUCCUUACGAGACAUGAAAAUGACUCCAGAUCCUACUUUGCUCUGAGUAGAGAGUAACUAUGUAUAUCACUCCUCUUCUGUACCUCUCAAUUCUGUGAUCUGUAAAAUGAGGGGAUUACUUAGAUGAGCUCUGAGAUCCCUUCCAGUUCUAAAAAUGCUAUGAUUUUCAGAUUACCGAUCUCUGGAGUCAGUGUUUCACACUUCCGAAUUUAAGAUGAAAAGCAUACUCUUCGAGCUCUUGGCAUGAAGUGCAUGCUGCCUGUGAAUAAGCCACGCUUUAUGGCCUGACUGCUUCAUCCAUGGUAGAAAAAAAUCUGUGGACUUUAAGUUACUUCUUGUAAAUGGGGGAAAGAAGCUGGCUUUGAGCAAAUCGGUCAGAGCUUGUUGUCCUUCAAAUAGCGUGUGUGAAACAGCCCCUUUGCAUAUACUGACUAGCUGUUAAAAAAUCACUAGUGUCUUAUAUUUAGAGCAGAAUGAGGUGAAGUUACUUUUUAGUUAUAUCUCUAAGCCAAAUAAAUAGAUGUCAGAGAAAAAAUUCCAUUCAUAUAAGAAUAGUGUUCCUACUCUGCCUUCAUAGAGGAGUCAGUAUGAUCCAUCCUCAUACUGGAUCUUAACCCCAGGUCCCAUCCUAGUACACAGCACUUCCUUUGGCUGUGAUUUUUAUCCUAUCUUGACUGGCAGUGAGGUGAAGGGUCAGAGUGACCCUUCUGUUCAUACCACAGAAUCUGUUGACAGCUGACACCUCUGUUGGGAAAAUAAAAAUGAACUGGUGAAAGGAGUGAAAGGACCAUUAUCACUUUGACAGAUGCCCAUUAUUGGGGACUGUGCCAACUGGUGAAUUCCUAAUAAUAGGAAGCAAAUGUAUAUUUCAGCUUCUUGACUGCUCUGUGAAAGGCUUCUAGGAAGGAACCCUUAAUGUAAAUGUAAUUGAGUUUAACAGGGACGGGAAGAGGCCACAACACACUGGCCUAGGAGCAGCAUGGUGAUGGUGGUAUAUGUUUCUAUCGUAGAGGAGAGUGUCAAAGCUCCAAAUAACCGGCCUGUCAAGGAUAGAAAAUAGCCUUGGUCUUACAUGAAAGCUUUUACUAAGGUAGUGUCAGGCACCCUCUCUGGAACCUCAGUUCAACCCUCUGCUUUAACCUGUUUUCUCCUUCCCAUAUUCUAGAUUUCCCCUUUUCCUGCAAUGGAUAAUGCGUGUAUUGUCUGCCCCAUCUCACAGAGUUGAGUGGUUGAGAGCAAGGACUUGGGAGUCUGAGAGCCUGAAUUGGACUCUUGAUUCCACCACUGACUUGGGCAAGCCAGUGAACCUCUCCACACUCUAGUGUCUUCAUCUUUACCCAAGGGGAUGAAGAUGCUGUUUCCAUUUAGUGGUAAGGGAGAAUUAAAUCAGAAAAUGCAUGGAGAGGGCUUUGAAACCCAGGCUGAUGUGUAGUGACCAUAUCUUCACUCUGUGCUUCCUGUUGCCAGUCUCAGCAACCACAGCAUGGAGUGUUUCAGCCAUGAUUUACUGCUCCCUCAGUCCGGGGGUGGAGGGGGAUGGACCCUACUAUCGAAGUUUCACAGCCUUUACCAGCCCACUGUGAUGACCCAGUCCAUGCUGGUUGCCAGUGGUCUAAGCAAAUAGUAUUUUGGCAAAGAAAGGAAACUAUCACUUGGAAAAUUCAUUUUCCUCCGGUAGAAUUUACUUCCUUGUUUUCUGGUUGGAUGUAACUCCAAGAAGUAAAAUAAUUCAGUUGCACAACCUAGGUUGAAUAUCAACAUUGUCAGUAGUGUAUGCCAGAUAUGGUGGUGGAAACAAAUGCAAAUGAAGACAUAGGUGUUGUGUUUAGGGUCUUGUUGGGUAGCCAGAGGAAUGCAUGAACACGAGAUUGGCUGUAGUUUUGAACAAACAUGGGUUAGAGGUAGAUGCUGUACUUAGGUCCUUACUGGGGCGAAAGAAGGUGAGUGUCAACACCUAGUUAAGUGUGUUGUGCAAAAUGCUACAUUAGAAAUAUAAAGGCUUUGCGGUGCUGAGCAGUGAAUGUCAUUCGGAAAGGCUGAAGAUGAUGUCUUAGAAUUUCACCUGGGCUUAAAGAAAUAUGGAUAGUACAUUAACAGUCAGAGUCAAGGGUGGAGUUGAAUGAGAAAAAUAGUAGUCAUGCCCUUAAAUUCACAAUUGGUGUAAUUCACAGUGACUCAUUUCUGCUUUUAAAUUGAAAAUACUGCUUUAAAAACUAGCGAAUUUGCCGUUGAUACGGAAAUCUAAGACUCUACCUGAUAAUUAGUAACAAAUCCCUAGGAAAGAGAAUAAAAGAAGAAAACCCACAAUGUUAUUUUCUACGAUCUGCCAAGAGAGUGUGAAAAUUAUCGUCUAGAGAAUACAGAUCCCUCAACAAAGAGGUCAUUAUCAUCAAACUGCUAAGGUCAUCAGUAUAUAUGCUUUUAAAUAAACCCAAUGAUCCUCUUAAUAUCAUUAUGGAAAUUCUAGGCUCUAACACAUUAAACGUAUCCUAUUGGGAUGUUGUGUUAUUACUGUAUUUUUCAAAGGCUUUGGUUUCUGAAAAUUUCUAAAAUAAAUACUGUGGCCUUGUUAAUUGAUAAUAUGAUGAUAUUCUUGGUAUUUGGAUUUACUCUUGUUUGGCUUUUCUUUCUUUUACGUAAAAUGUUGAGAAUAUGGCAGUGAUUUUAUAUUUAAUCAUCAUACUGUUUCUCCCCUUAAGUUAACAAAAAGAAAUGUAACCUAAAGGUUUAGUAGAUAACAGUCAGUGAAGUCAUUGGAAAUCAAUUUCCAGUUCUUUUUAGACAAGAAACUAGACCCAAAGUAAUAAAAUGCCAUGGUCAAUGGCACACCAUUGCUUAGUGACUGGCCUGGGUCUAGAAGCCAGACCUUUUAUGUCCAAAUUUGAUAUUAAUCUUUUAUACCAUAAUCUUGUUCAUUGAAAAAGACUGGGAACCUAGAAAUUUGAGCCCAUAUAUUAGAACACUAUGAAUGAAGAGUCCAGGAGAUUGUCAAACCUGUUUUGAUUGGCAAAUUGUUAUUUGGCAGUGAUAACAAUAACUAACAUUUAUGAAGUACUCCUAAGCACGUUUACAUGAAUUAAUUCAUUACAUCCAUCACAAUGACCUUGUUGCUGGUAGUGUUGCUUUUCCCAGUUUCCAGAUGGGCCAUUGAGGCACAGAGAGUUGACGGAAACUGCCCAAUGUUACAUAUUGGGGAUUCAAAAGCAGGCGGUCUGGUUCAGGGACCACAUCUGCUUCCCCAAAAUGGGAUCCAGUCAUUGGGAGUGUUUUGUCCCCACCUCCCCAUCUGGCUUGUGUCAGAAGCAGUUUUUAUAAUGUCAUAUUAACCACACAGUUAACAAAAUAGACAGUACCACCAUUUGAAUCCUGGGUUGCCACUCCAUUUCCAGAAAUGCGUAGAUCAUGGCACUGUCCCGAAUUAAUCCAGACUUUCACAAUGAAGGUGUAUUUGCAUUGCCAUCUGGAAGAGCCCUAUAGCUAUAGGGCAGCUCCACUGAGGAGAGAACACCAUCUCCCCAGUUGAGCAGGUGAUUUAAACUCCCCUGGCAUUUGCAGUAAUAACAACCGUAUUUUUCCCUCUGCCUGGGCUGUGUCUUGGCUUUGGACAGGAGCCCCAAGUGAGCUGCGUUGUUGUGUCUGCUCCCUGCACCACAGAGGGUGUGAGCUGCAUGCUCCCUACCCGGGUCUAAUAGGGAAUGGGGAUUAGACUCCAACAUUCCAACAUCAUUAUGUAAAGUAAAAUAGCAUCAUUGAGAGAGGUGGUGCUGAGCAGUCCAAAAUAUUUGAUAACACUGAAAGAACAUUUUUCUUCUUCCACAAUGAAUCCAUGUCUCCAUUUGCAUUUGUU